GAACGCCAAGAUGAGGCCCCCCACGCAUGUCCAGCCGCCGUCCAAGAAGAAGACCCUGAAGAGCAGCGACUCUAACAGAGACAGGGAUAAGCAGCUCAAGCUCACAAUGCCAUGCAGCUGCCGCUGCAGCAGACACCUCGACACCAUUCGCCACGCCAUCAUCCCAGGAUAACAAGAAGGCUAUGAAACAGGAGGCGCAAGUUACAUGCGUAUGAGAGUAUGAAGGAAUCUCUCUUCAAAUCAGCUGCUGAUAAUGCCAAACUGAAUUCUGGACACAUGCCACCCAGCUCUGUUAGGAAGUAUGACGAAGUUAUUCAUGCACUAAAACAAAUAUUUGGGCAAGAAGGUUGCGUCGUCUUUACA